UCGCUCCUACUGAUAGAGUGCUCUGGUAAAUAAUUUGGCCACAGCAUUGUGCAUAUCUGGCAAUAACUGUAGAAAAUUUGAUGAGCCUUAUCACUUAGAGGAAGUAA
rnacentral:rRNA from 1 species